CAUGCAUAUUAGAACUAAGCAUGACCAAUCACAAAUUUAGUAACAGAAGAUUAAGACCUUUUCUUCGAAGAAUUAACCGGCCAAAAAACAAAAAUAAGAUAAUUUGAUCUCACUUACAAAGGGACUUCCUGCAAGAGAAUUUGACAUUCAUGAGGAAGCUUGGUAUGAAGGACAUAGUUCUACAAAGCAAGAGAGAAAAGACCAAGUAAUAUUACUGAUCUUCGACUUAUUUGUAGAAUUUUAUAGUGAAAAAUCAUUAGUUUCCUGAUAUCCUCGGAUUUAUCUUUUGUGUCUUCAGCUUAGAAUAUCUUGUAGUAAUCAGCAAAUAUGUACAUACUUUGUAUUCCUGUAUCAAGCCUAUAUAAAGGACUCUUUC
rnacentral:lncRNA from 1 species